UUCGGCCAUACCAUGCUGAAUAUACCGGUUCUCAUUAGAUCACCGAAGUCAAGCAUCAUUGGGCGCGGUCAGUACUUGGGUGGGUGACCACCUGGGAACACUGCGUGCCGU
rnacentral:rRNA from 1 species